UACGGAGGGAGCUAGCGUUGUUCGGAAUUACUGGGCGUAAAGCGUGCGUAGGUGGUUUGUUAAGUCUGUUGUGAAAGCCCCGGGCUCAACCUGGGAAUGGCAAUGGAUACUGGCAAGCUAGAGUGCGGUAGAGGGUAGUGGAAUUCCCGGUGUAGCGGUGAAAUGCGUAGAGAUCGGGAGGAACACCAGUGGCGAAGGCGGCUACCUGGACCAGCACUGACACUGAGGCACGAAAGCGUGGGGAGCAAACAGG
rnacentral:rRNA from 1 species